GACGAACGCUGGCGGCGUGCUUAACACAUGCAAGUCGAGCGGAGCGGCGAACGGGUGGGUAACGCGUGAGUAACUGCCCCCCUCCCUGGGAUAACAGUUGGAAACGGCUGCUAAUACCUGAUAGUGUGGGCUGACUCGGGUCCUAUCGGCUUGUUGGUGGGGUAGUGGCCUACCAAGGCGACGAAUGGUAGCCGGCCUGGGAGGGGGACCGGCCACAUGGGGCUGAGAUAGGGCCCAAACGCCAACGGGGGGCAGCAGUGGGGAGUAUUGCACAAUGGGGGAAACCCUGAUGCAGCAACGCCGCGUGCGGAAUGACCGCCGACCGGUUGUAAACCGCUUUCAGUCAUGACGCGGUAGUGGCAGAAGAAGCACCGGCUAACUACGUGCCAGCCGCCGCGGUAAUUC
rnacentral:rRNA from 1 species